GGGGCCAUAGCUCAGCUGGGAGAGCGUCUGCCUUGCACGCAGAAGGUCGGCAGUUCGAUCCUGCCUGGCUCCACCA
rnacentral:tRNA from 2 species